UCAUCGUUGAGGGAGAGGUUGUUGUUCUGGCACCACACAGUCAGGUCUCUGACCUCCUCCCUAUAGGCUGUCUCAUCGUUGAGGGAGAGGUUGUUGUUCUGGCACCACACAGUCAGGUCUCUGACCUCCUCCCUAUAGGCUGUCUCAUCGUUGAGGGAGAGGUUGUUGUUCUGGCACCACACAGUCAGGUCUCUGACCUCCUCCCUAUAGGCUGUCUCAUCGUUGAGGGAGAGGUUGUUGUCCCUGCACCACACAGUCAGGUCUCUAACCUCCUCCCUAUAGGCUGUCUCAUCGUUGAGGGAGAGGUUGUUGUCCCUGCACCACACAGUCAGGUCUCUGACCUCCUCCCUAUAGGCUGUCUCAUCGUUGAGGGAGAGGUUGUUGUCCCUGCACCACACAGUCAGGUCUCUGACCUCCUCCCUAUAGACUGUCUCAUCGUUGAGGGAGAGGUUGUUGUUCUGGCACCACACAGUCAGGUCUCUGACCUCCUCCCUAUAGGCUGUCUCAUCGUUGAGGGAGAGGUUGUUGUUCUGGCACCACACAGUCAGGUCUCUAACCUCCUCCCUAUAGGCUGUCUCAUCGUUGAGGGAGAGGUUGUUGUUCUGGCACCACACAGUCAGGUCUCUAACCUCCUCCCUAUAGGCUGUCUCAUCGUUGAGGGAGAGGUUGUUGUUCUGGCACCACACAGUCAGGUCUCUAACCUCCUCCCUAUAGGCUGUCUCAUCGUUGAGGGAGAGGUUGUUGUUCUGGCACCACACAGUCAGGUCUCUGACCUCCUCCCUAUAG